ACACCCUCGGAUUGACGUGCGCACGCGCACCGGUUACCUUCAGGAGCGCCGAAGAAGGAAAGAAGACUGCCAGCUCCGUGACAGCAAGAACCUUGUAUGACUUUUUCAUGAUGGAUGUUCAUCUGUGCCAUCUGUAAAUAUUGAAUAAAUAUUUGUGGAAUACAUGAAUCUAAAAGUGAAUGGAAUGAUAAAGAGGGAAAGGGUCAUGACAUCUACUACAGCAUUUGGCACAGACCCAGGUUUCCCUGGUACUGGUAAUUCCCAGCAGCUUUCUACAAUUCCAAAGCUGUCUGCAGUACUAUCAAGAGAUGACAUGGACUUCAAGGAUCAAACAGGGGAGAAAAAGGCUUAAAAGAAAAACAAGUCUCCAUCAAAGUCCUCCUGACAUCUUAAUCUAUCUGCCAACGCUACAUGCCGUCAAGCCAAGGAAGAAUUUCCUUCUCACUGUUGCUUCUCUGACCAAGGAAGACAUAAGCACAACCAAUCACCAGACUGAUGAAAUUCCUUCCAGUUUCAGAAAAGAUUAUCACCAAUCCCUACAUUAUAAAAUUCAUACUAAUAAAGCACAAACAUUGAAUUCUAACAUUA
rnacentral:lncRNA from 10 species